CACUCUAGAGAGACUGCCAGGGAUAACCUGGAGGAAGGUGGGGAUGACGUCAAAUCAUCAUGCCCCUUAUGCUUAGGGCUACACACGUGCUACAAUGGGUAGUACAGAGGGUUGCCAAGCCGUAAGGCGGAGCUAAUCCCUUAAAGCUACUCUCAGUUCGGAUUGUAGGCUGAAACUCGCCUACAUGACGCUGGAGUUACUCGUAAUCGAAGAUCAGAAUGCUGCGGUGAAUGCGUUCCCGGGUCUUUGCCACACCCCCCGUCACCCCCAGGGAGAUGGAGGCGCCCGAAGCCGAUUAUCUAACCUUUUGGAAGAAGUCGUCGAAGGUGGAAUUAAUAACUGGGGUGAAGUCGUAACAAGGUAGCCGUAUCGGAAGGUGCGGCUGGAUCACCUCCUUUCUAAGGAGA
rnacentral:rRNA from 1 species